rnacentral:rRNA from 1 species
AUUACAAUGGAGAGUUUGAUCCUGGCUCAGGAUGAACGCUAGCGGUAGGCUUAACACAUGCAAGUCGCGGGGCAGCACGGGUAGCAAUACUUGGUGGCGACCGGCGGAUGGGUGAGUAACGCGUAUGCAACCUACCUUAUACUGGGGAAUAGCUCUCGGAAACGAGGAUUAAUGUCCCAUAGUAUUAUUUACAGGCAUCUGUUUAUAAUUAAAGCUACGGCGGUAUAAGAUGGGCAUGCGUGCCAUUAGGUAGUUGGUAAGGUAACGGCUUACCAAGCCUACGAUGGUUAGGGGUUCUGCAAGGAAGGUCCCCCACACUGGAACUGAGACACGGUCCAGACUCCUACGGGAGGCAGCAGUGAGGAAUAUUGGUCAAUGGGCGA